CUAACACAUGCAAGUCGAACGGUAACAGGAAGAAGCUUGCUUCUUUGCUGACGAGUGGCGGACGGGUGAGUAAUGUCUGGGAAACUGCCUGAUGGAGGGGGAUAACUACUGGAAACGGUAGCUAAUACCGCAUAACGUCGCAAGACCAAAGAGGGGGACCUUCGGGCCUCUUGCCAUCGGAUGUGCCCAGAUGGGAUUAGCUAGUAGGUGGGGUAACGGCUCACCUAGGCGACGAUCCCUAGCUGGUCUGAGAGGAUGACCAGCCACACUGGAACUGAGACACGGUCCAGACUCCUACGGGAGGCAGCAGUGGGGAAUAUUGCACAAUGGGCGCAAGCCUGAUGCAGCCAUGCCGCGUGUAUGAAGAAGGCCUUCGGGUUGUAAAGUACUUUCAGCGGGGAGGAAGGGAGUAAAGUUAAUACCUUUGCUCAUUGACGUUACCCGCAGAAG
rnacentral:rRNA from 1 species